rnacentral:rRNA from 1 species
AACGAACGCUGGCGGCAGGCUUAACACAUGCAAGUCGAACGGUUCCUUCGGGGACAGUGGCAGACGGGUGAGUAACGCUUGGGAAUCUACCCAGUCCUACGGGAUAGCUCCGGGAAACUGGAAUUAAUACCGUAUACGCCCAUUUGGGGAAAGAUUUAUCGGGAUUGGAUGAGCCCGCGUAAGAUUAGCUAGUGGGUGGGGUAAUGGCCUACCAAGGCGACGAUCUUUAGCUGGUCUGAGAGGAUGAUCAGCCACACUGGGACUGAGACACGGCCCAGACUCCUACGGGAGGCAGCAGUGGGGAAUAUUGGACAAUGGGCGAAAGGCUGAUCCAGCCAUGCCGCGUGAGUGAUGAAGGCCCUAGGGUUGUAAAGCUCUUUCACCGGUGAAGAUAAUGACGGUAACCGGAGAAGAAGCCCCGGCUAACUUCGUGCCAGCCGCCGCCGUAAGAC